CGUCACGACAGAACCAAUCCCUCGCUAGCCCUACCUCGUCUCCCGUCUCCAGUCGCAGCCGGUGAUCUCCUCGCCCCCCUGCGCAGUCGCCGAAGGCAAGGGACGGAAAGGGAAGGCAAGGGAAGGGAAGGGAAGGGAGAGGGAGCGCCCAGAUCCACGGCGGCAUCAGCGCACCGUCGUCGACCUGAUCCGCGUCCGUCCUCGAGGGAGGUCGGCCAUGGAGGUCCGACCCGGCCCGGCAGCAGUCAUGGACGGACGGAGACGCCGCAAACCCUACCCUCAAGGACGAGGCCUCAACCUUCAAGGACGCGCGCCGGCGACCGCGGAUCUCCGGUGACGGCUAUGAUGAUGAAUAUAGAGAACGAUACGUCAUUGAUAUCCUGAAAUCAGCUGUCCGGUUUGAUUUUUGAGGCCUUGGUGAUAGAUGUUCUCGAUUGUGAUGCCCAGGCCUGUCUGCCGCAAUUGUGUGUUUGUUGCUGCUGAGGCAUUCCUUUCCUCAGUGGUUAGACGGACUUUGGGGACACAAAUUUUGUGUGAAGUGAACCACAGGGCCUUCAUUCUAAUCAUCAAGAUGGCAAGACUGAUUUACGUCAGUCAUCCUUCUGUUUUACUUGGUUAGUAUAUGCUCUUGCAAUCAUACACUUUCAGAUAUUAUAAGGUCACAGUUUUUCUCCUAUAAUAAUGUAGCAUGUUCAUGCUUGUGUCGAGCAAGAACUAUUUCCCACAAACAAAGAGAGAAAUCUAAAGCACUCUUUUUGGUAACUUUUGUUACAUUAGUGUUGAAGAAUAGAAACUCUUUCUUGUUAAGAGACCAUUUGUCUGGUAUUUAUACCUGUACACCAGCCACGCAAAGCAUCACUGUUCUUCGAAAAGAGACACUGCACUUUGUGUUAACACUAUCCUUGCACCCCUGCAUCAAAUUUCACUAUUCACUGAAACUAUCAGAACAAAAGAAACAUAUGGUUCUACAUAACUUGAUGGCUACGAGUUUAUUUCUAAUGAGUUUGUUGGUUCUUUUGCUUGACUCUAAUCCCUGCGCAGCUCUCUCAUGGAGGAACAAUAGUUUAGUGGAUGAUAUUGGUACACCGUCUCCAAUCCCUACUCCUAAUGGAGCAAUUGGUAGUCUCCGUUCUGGUUUUUUUUUCCGUCCCACCUACCACUUCGUCUGGGUUUUUCGUUGUUUUUUUCGUCAUAUAUCUAUCGACCGCCUGGUUGCCACCUGACGAAUCUGUUUUUAUUUAUUAUUAGGUACCUGAAACCUGAUCUGAUGAAGUUGCUUGUCAAUCUACCUUCCUUUGAUGAACUAGAAGGCCAGGAGACAUGGGUGGAUCCAGCAUGGAGCAAGGAUGUACAGAUGUACACCCAAAAAUAAUCUCCUUCCAAGCUCCAACUCUGAAAUUUCAUUCCUUAAUUUGAUUCAUUGUGAAAUCCCAACUUAGUGUAUAGUUUCUAUCCGUUUCAGCGAGAAAUAGCUAUUGAUGUCACUGAAAGGAGUUAGGAUCUGUUGAUUAUUAGCAAAAAAAAUAAAAAAUGAAUUAUAUUUUAAUUGUAGGCAGUAGAGCAUUCAAACCUCAAGAGGAAGAAAAUUGAUUUGAAAACAUUAUGGAGUAGAGAUGGGAAGAAAUAUAUGGCAUGUAUUCAGGUUGAGCAGCAAGUGCAGGUGUAGAACAAUUCCUCAUCCAAUCAACUUCAUCCGCAACGGCUACAGAUUUUUAGUGCCAUGAACACAAGUCCAAUCGCAGAAUCUUACAUUGAGCCGUGAACCAAUUGGCUCCUCUGUUAGGGUGAAUAUUUUUCUUGAACACCCAUUGUUAAAUUCAUGGAUCCGCCACUGCCAAGAGACCAAGGACUCAAGUGGGCGACUCCAAAAAUGGAUACUCCUGAAACUUUAGCCAGUGGCCAUGUUGAUGUGACCACAUUGCCGCCUGAUUCUCGAGUGGCAACCAAGAGGAAGGAUGGCACCGAUGGAGAACGACAGUUGCGGCUCCGAGUAGGGCAAGUACCUUAUCUGCGAUCUUGGAUCGGGCUAUGUGAUGAAUCCAUUUGGGCAUGGUGAUUUUGGUGACGGAGGGAGAUCCCUGAUGCCAGCGUCGCCAUGGCUGAGAUGACAGAGAAGAAGGCCGACAACCUGGAUGCUUUCAAGUAGUCCAUCGAUCUGGGGGUCUAGAAUGUGAAGAACCUACAAGGUGGCUACCUCCUUGCUCAAGAGCGCAAAUUACACGCAGCCAGCAACCACUGAUCAACCAUCAACAAAUCGAUGUAUCUAUCAGCCAUUUUCUUAUGAAGAAGAUUUAGUCAGCUAUGUUCAGAGAUGAGGUUAAACUGGAAAUGAUUCUUUCUACUUCUCCAAAAAGAUAACUCCGUUGGAGUACAUAGUUGAGUUGCGCCAUGCAGUAGGAUAUUAGUGUAGUUGACGAAGGUUUCAGCAAGAAAUUAUGUCUUAAAUCAUCAUUAACAUGACAUGUGAUUGUAUCUUGCACUAAUUCCAGCUCCUAAGUUCUCUAAUUAGUAAAGAAAAUAUUCUAAGUGGACGCUGGAAAUAGAUGUUCACUAGCAUGAUUCCUGAUUUA